rnacentral:tRNA from 1 species
AUUGCGAUUUGCGCGGUCGCUUCGUGCCACUCGUUGUCGGCGAGCGCGGCUUCCGCGUGCGCCGCGCGCUUCGGCGUCGCGGCC